UUUGGUUAAGUUAGAAAGGGCGCACGGUGGAUGCCUUGACACUAGGAGUCGAUGAAGGACGGGACUAACGCCGAUAUGCUUCGGGGAGCUGUAAGUAAGCUUUGAUCCGAAGAUUUCCGAAUGGGGAAACCCACCAUACGUAAUGGUAUGGUAUCCUUAUCUGAAUACAUAGGGUAAGGAAGACAGACCCAGGGAACUGAAACAUCUAAGUACCUGGAGGAAGAGAAAGCAAAUGCGAUUUCCUGAGUAGCGGCGAGCGAAACGGAACAUAGCCCAAACCAAGAGGCUUGCCUCUUGGGGUUGUAGGACAUUCUAUACGGAGUUACAAAGGAACGAGGUAGACGAAGCGACCUGGAAAGGUCCGUCGUAGAGGGUAACAACCCCGUAGUCGAAACUUCGUUCUCUCUUGAAUGUAUCCUGAGUACGGCGGAACACGUGAAAUUCCGUCGGAAUCUGGGAGGACCAUCUCCCAAGGCUAAAUACUCCCUAGUGAUCGAUAGUGAACCAGUACCGUGAGGGAAAGGUGAAAAGCACCCCGGAAGGGGAGUGAAAGAGAUCCUGAAACCGUGUGCCUACAAAUAGUCAGAGCCCGUUAACGGGUGAUGGCGUGCCUUUUGUAGAAUGAACCGGCGAGUUACGAUCCCGUGCGAGGUUAAGCUGAAGAGGCGGAGCCGCAGCGAAAGCGAGUCUGAAUAGGGCGUUUAGUACGUGGUCGUAGACCCGAAACCAGGUGAUCUACCCAUGUCCAGGGUGAAGUUCAGGUAACACUGAAUGGAGGCCCGAACCCACGCACGUUGAAAAGUGCGGGGAUGAGGUGUGGGUAGCGGAGAAAUUCCAAUCGAACCUGGAGAUAGCUGGUUCUCCCCGAAAUAGCUUUAGGGCUAGCCUUAAGUGUAAGAGUCUUGGAGGUAGAGCACUGAUUGGACUAGGGGUCCUCAUCGGAUUACCGAAUUCAGUC
rnacentral:rRNA from 1 species